AAAGCCCCUUCAACUCCU
rnacentral:tRNA from 1 species